rnacentral:rRNA from 1 species
UACAGAGGCCUCGAGCGUUAGGCGGAAUCACUGGGCUUAAAGCGCGUGUAGGCGGAUCGUUAAGUGUCUUGUGAAAUCCCACGGCUCAACCGUGGAACUGCUGGGCAUACUGGCGAUCUUGGGCCACUCAGGGGCAACCGGAACAAGCGGUGGAGCGGUGAAAUGCGUAGAUAUCGCUUGGAACGCCAAAGGUGAAGACAGGUUGCUGGGGGUGUGCCGACGCUGAGACACGAAAGCCAGGGGAGCGAACGGG